rnacentral:rRNA from 1 species
GACGAACGCUGGCGGCGUGCUUAACACAUGCAAGUCGAACGGUGAAGCGCCUUCCUUUUUGGUGGGUGUGGAUGAGUGGCGAACGGGUGAGUAACACGUGAGUAACCUGCCCCCUUCUUCUGGAUAACCGCAUGAAAGUGUGGCUAAUACGGGAUAUUCUGGGUCUGUCGCAUGAUGGGUCUGGGAAAGAUAUUGUUUCGGUGGGGGAUGGGCUCGCGGCCUAUCAGCUUGUUGGUGGGGUGAUGGCCUACCAAGGCGGUGACGGGUAGCCGGCCUGAGAGGGUGGACGGUCACACUGGGACUGAGACACGGCCCAGACUCCUACGGGAGGCAGCAGUGGGGAAUAUUGCACAAUGGGCGCAAGCCUGAUGCAGCGACGCCGCGGGGGGGAUGGAGGCCUUCGGGUUGUGAACCUCUUUCGCCAGUGAAGCAGGCCUGCCUCGUUUGUGGGUGGGUUGACGGUAGCUGGAUAAGAAGCGCCGGCUAACUACGUG